rnacentral:rRNA from 1 species
GACGAACGCUGGCGGCGUGCUUAACACAUGCAAGUCGAACGGAAAGGCCUGCUUUCCCUUGUGGAUUGCGGGUACUCGAGUGGCGAACGGGUGAGUAACACGUGAGUGAUCUGCCCCCAACUUGGGUAUAAGCCUGGGAAACUGGGUCUAAUUCCCGAUAGGACUGCAGGGUGGUGCCUGUGGUGGAAAACGAUUUUCUAGUGGUUGGGGAUGAGCUCGCGGCCUAUCAGCUUGUUGGUGGGGUAAUGGCCUACCAAGGCGGCGACGGGUAGCCGGCCUGAGAGAGUGGACGGCCACGUUGGGACUGAGAUACGGCCCAGACGCCUACGGGAGGCAGCAGUGGGGAAUAUUGCACAGUGGGCGGAAGCCUGAUGCAGCGACGCCGCGUGGGGGAUGCCGGCCUUCGGGUUGUAAACUCCUUUCGACCGCGAGGAAGCCACCUGGUUGGAAGGGUGGUGACGGUAGUGGUAGAAGAAGCACCGGCUAACUACGUG